rnacentral:rRNA from 2 species
GGAUGCGAUCAUACCAGCACUAAAGCACCGGAUACAAUCAGAACUCCGAAGUUAAGCGUGCUUGGGCGAGAGUAGUACUAGGAUGGGUUACCUCCUGGGAAGUCCUCGUGUUGCAUUCC